rnacentral:rRNA from 1 species
UUCGGAACUAUACAAACGCUCAUGAGAGAGAGAAGUGUAGUUUCGUCUCUAAUUUUCUUUUUUGUAGGUGGAAGUACGAAAGACUUUAAAUUUACAAGAUCGAACUAUAGAGUUUGAUCCUGGCUCAGAUUGAACGCUGGCGGCAUGCCUUACACAUGCAAGUACGAACGGUAACAGGUCUUCGGAUGCUGACGAGGUGGCGAACGGGUGAGUAAUACAUCGGAACGUGCCCGAUCGUGGGGGAUAACGGAGCGAAAGCUUUGCUAAUACCGCAUACGAUCUACGGAUGAAAGCGGGGGAUCUUCGGACCUCGCGCGGACGGAGCGGCCGAUGGCAGAUUAGGUAGUUGGUGGGAUAAAAGCUUACCAAGCCGACGAUCUGUAGCUGGUCUGAGAGGAUGAUCAGCCACACUGGGACUGAGACACGGCCCAGACUCCUACGGGAGG